GACCUUGUAGUCAAAAAUGAUAUUAGACUGCAAUUCUAAAGGAGUAGAUAAUGUCUACUAAGGUUU
rnacentral:tRNA from 1 species